UACGGAGGGGGCAAGCGUUGUUCGGAGUCACUGGGCGUAAAGCGCACGUAGGCGGCUUUCUAAGUCAGGGGUGAAAUCCUGGAGCUCAACUCCAGAACUGCCUUUGAUACUGGGAAGCUCGAGUCCGGAAGAGGUGAGUGGAACUCCGAGUGUAGAGGUGAAAUUCGUAGAUAUUCGAAAGAACACCAGUGGCGAAGGCGGCUCACUGGUCCGGUACUGACGCUGAGGUGCGAAAGCGUGGGGAGCAAACAGG
rnacentral:rRNA from 1 species